CUCUCUGAACACAUGAAAAACACUAAUUUGUGGACCUAACUUGUCCAUGUAGGGAUAAAAAAACUCCCCUGCGGAACCUGGAGGAGAAGCUGCUGAGAGAAGCAUGACAUCUACUCAAGAAUGAACAAGAAGUUCUCCCCAUCCCUGCUUUUCCUUUCAUUAUGAAACCGUAGUGCAAGAUGAAGGCAGCAAAAGUGGAGAAGUCACAAAUAGAAGAUCAUGUAAUUCUCCAACCAACAUUUUAUGAAAAGUCGGUGCUUAAUAAUACAGGAUAGUGGUAAGCAUUGACCAGGAACCCCUCAGCAAGAUCCAGCGAGUAAGGAUGCGAGCCGGAGCAGCAGAUGGAGUAGAAGGCAGGAAACUGAACUGAUGCAGUGGAAAACUCUUCUCUUUUAUCUUUGAACCC
ensembl:lncRNA